CUGAUAGAUACUAAGAUAAGAAAUAACUGCAACCAUAAAUGUAUACAGGUUAUGUGUCCAUGAGCCAUCUCUUCAGUUUGCCCAUAGAUUUUUGUCUGUGGAAUAUUUUCUUGUUUCAUCACACUGAAUCGUUGGCCAAGAAAUGCUUGAAAAUCAAAACAUUAAUAUCAUCUUUCUUCUUUUUUUUAAAGGUGACUUAAGAGAUUAAAAUUAAUUUGGUUGCUGUUGGUUCUGAACAAAUAAUGAGUUCUUUUAUUUGAGGUAUGCCAUUUUGAAGACUGAGACGUUGGAGUUUUAUCCUAGAGGAUAAAGGAAAUCUUUGGGAAAGUCAGUAUUUUAUAUAGCAAGUAAGUAAAUGUUUUUACCCAACAUCUGCAAUUGAAUAGUUACCAACAUUUAAGUAGAAAAAUACCAUUAAAGUUUGUUAAUGAAACAAACUGUAGACUACUUAUCACUGAAAGGAUGAGAAAACCAUCAAAUUUCUUUGCCUGACAUUGAAAACACUUCUAUUACUAUCAAGACAGUCGAUGCAUGUAAUUUAUAUUGGAGCAGGAAGACAUUUAGUACUUCUUAAUAAAAUGGUGCUUUAGGAUUGUGGUUAAAUCUGCAGUAAAGUCAUCAAGAUUAUGUUUUUACAAAUCUGGUAUAUACAGUCUUAAGCCUUUUUUUUUUUUUUUUUUUGAUUGUACAAAUCACAUUUUAGGAAUGGUCUGGAAUUUUGCAUUUGCUGAUCGUAGGAUUCUUAACAACAUUUCAAAAACUAAAUAGACACUUUCAUAUCUUAGGCAUUUAAUAGAUUUAAAAUACUCAUUUUAAUUGUUUUCAUGAGUUUUCAAACAGGUCCAAAAAUGUGUUGUUUUCUAGGAAAUGAGAGUUAAUGCAUCUAAAGAGUCCUCUAAUUUAAUUGCUUAGUAAUUGCUUUUAAAGCAUGAAAGAUAGAGAUAAUUUUCACGCGCAGUAGGUAUUGGGCCCCCAGCAUACCAUGUAUAUCACACUUUAAAAUCUUAAAGCUAGAUACGUGAAUUUAAAAGAAUGUCCACUGAUGUUUUUAAGGAAAUAUGCCUUUUUUGUAAGUUAA
ensembl:lncRNA CHASERR CHD2 adjacent suppressive regulatory RNA